rnacentral:sRNA from 1 species
AAGAAAUUGAGAAAAGGGUAGGAAAGCAGAUGUGAAUGGCAAAACUGGUGGGGAGAGGCACCCCAGGCCAUGGGCUGGAGCAGAGGGCCUGGCAGGGGUGGUGGGAGAGGCAGCAGAGGGAGGAGCAGUCAGCAAAGUGGCUACAGAGGUCAGCAGGGAGCUCCUGAGGACCAAGGGUGGCCUGGGAAGGUCUGGGGACUAGAUCCUGAGGGCAGUGGGGUGGUCACUGUAGGAUUUCAAGGGAGUCAGAUUUGUGUUCUAGAAAGGUUGUCACCAUAUGGGCUGACCAUAUGCCAGUCUGGUUUAUUACUGUUUUCCUAGCACCUAGCUCAGUGCCAGCACACAGUAGAUGUUCAGUAAAUGCUUUGAAUCAAUACACAGAUGCCAGCGGUGUAUCCAGAGGCAAUGGUUAACUCCUGCGGGGGUCCUUCAGCUUCAGUUUCCUCCUUUGUGAACGAGGGCACUGGCACCUGCCUGGUGGGCAUGUUGUGAUGGUGAAGGGAGCAUGGCAGUUUGGGCUUGCUGUCCUGCACAUGGUCAGCGCUCCGUAAUGGCAGCUUUUAUAAAACGUGUGGAGGAUGUGCCAAGGGGAACAUGGGGGCAAGGACCCUGGGCAGGAGUGGUCAAGUCAGCCAGAGGAGAGAGAAUAAUGAUGACAACAGUGACGUUGAUCAAAGGCUGAAGUUCUUCAUGUAUUUCAUUCAUGUCAUCCUCAACACAGUGAAGGAAGACGGCACCGUAGUUAUCCCUGUGUUAUUUUCCAGGAGGCGGCGGCUCAGAGAGGAGUGACUCGCCUGAAGCCCCGUGACCAAUGCAUGGUGGAUGGAAGUACAUGGAAUGCCAGAGCCAGGCUGGUGACUAGUGCUGGUGGUGGGGACUGGUCAAGGCGGCCGCCAGGGAAGGGAUGUGAGGACAUGGUCUAGACUGAUGGACCAGAUGGCGGGGGCAGGCACAGGGGGAGGGAGGUUUCAAGGACACCCCUCAGUUUCUGGCCCAGGUGACCAGGUGGAAGGUCAUUCCAUCUCCUGAGUGAGGGACACAGCAGGACAGACAGGCUUGGGGAGGGACUGUUGGGAUGUCUGGAGUCUAGGAGAGGAUCCAGGCGGGGGAUGGAGGGGAGGGCGGAAUGAGCUCAUGGGGCAAGUGGAAGGCUUGUGGGCGGUGGAAGAGCUCCAGCCCCCGGACACCUAGCCAAGGUCAAGUAAUAACGACAGUAGACGUUACAUAGCCUUGACUCUGUACAGACCUCAUCCUGCAUCCUUACGUUAACUCAUUGAACCCUCCCAACCAUUAUCAAAUUGGAGGUACCAUUAUCACCCCCAUUUUAUAGUUGGGGAAACUGAGGCAAGAGACAUUAAGUCUGCAAUAUUGGAAUAGGCAAAUCUGUAGAGAAAGGAAUGUGGGUGAGUGGUGGGCUGGGGCUGGGGGCUGGGAAGGAUCACGGCUAACGGGCACAGGCUUUCUUUUUUGGGUGAUGAAAAUAUUCUAAAAUGACUGUGAAAAUAUUGCACAACUCUGUGAAUAUGUGAAAAACCACUGAAUUGUAUGCUUUAACUGUAUGAAUUGUAUGGUAUUUGAAUUUCACCUCAAUAAAGCUGUUAUCAAAAAGCAA